CCCUCAGCUGGUUGAAUGUCAUCCAUGUGGCGAAAGGAGAGAGACCACAUCUUUUCUAUAUUAAAUUUGCAAUAAAAUAAUUGUGUGCAUCCAUAUUCGCUUAGAUAUCACUUGGAUUAAACUUAAUUUUUGUUAUAUUUACAAAAUCGAAGAAGUGUGUCAAACUUACAAAUUCCUAAACUAACCUACCAACAACAACCAAAAAUUAGUCAAAUCGCCACCACUCCAACAUCUUUGCUGGAUAUUUCAUAUUCUUCUCCCUUGCUACUACAAAUACUACUAUUUUAGGUUUGCUUACCUUUAUUCAACAUAAUUUAAUAGUAGUGUAGAAUAUAAAUUAAUAGUUGAUAGUAAUAGUAAUGAUACUAAUGAUAACUUUUUUGGGGUGCAUGCGAAUAUGUGCUCUGUGAAUGAUCACGAGCGUAGCUUAAAGAACUAUAGCAUCUGCUCUCUUCUCUCAUCCUCACAUUUAUUUUAUUAAUAAAAAAAAAAGUAAAAUUUGAGAGAAAUUAUUGCAAUAAUAGAAUGAAUAGACUUCACAAUAAUUGAAAAAUAGUCAUUAUAUAAUAAUCAUUAGUAAUUAAUCUAAAAUCCAACCGACACUUUCCAAUUCUUGUCCCUCCCUAUUUUCAAAAUGACAAUCCCCAAACCUCUCUCUUCCAACUUUCAAUGUUCAUAAAACUAUUUUUUUAGAGUUUAUCUACGACACACAAAAUUAGUUUACUCAAUACAUAUUUUAUCUUUGUAAUAUCACAACUCGAUGUAAAAGUAGAUUUUGAAAAUUAUGUUAACAAAAUUCGAAUCAAAGCUUAACUAAACAAGUGGUUGAAAUGAUUAUGAACUAAUGAGAGUAAUUAAGAUUAUACAGCUGAUUGUGAUUAAAACAGAUAUUGCAAUUCAUUUAUUCAAAUAACGACAAACAGAUACAUUGGCUUCAAUUCUUCCGAUCGGAGCUAAAAGAUGAGGAGGACUAACACGGAUUCGCGCGAUUUCGGACGUCACAAUUUUCAGGGUUGGGGAUCUGCCUUUCUUCUCCAGUGCAGCUGUCGUACCGUGGCGGCCGCCCACAUUCUGCAACCGAUUGUCUGUUAGGGUCUAUAGUGCCUGGAGUUUGUAAAUUCUGAAAGUCCAGCAGCAUCCGGCUGGUCUCUGUCUCCAUUAAAAACUCCGAAUCCAAGCUCUCAUCGCCGACGAGGCAAUUCUCGGACCCGUAGCACCACUCCGAUGUUGUCUCAUUGACGGUUGUGUUGCAACGGGUUGGGUUGAACAGUAGAGUCAGAAUGAGGAUUGCCAUGGUUGGUAUUGAAAAUGUUGUAGCCAUGGUGUUUGAGGAGAGUCCCGUGUGUGAACAAUAAUUUAGAAAGAGGGAAGAGUUGGGUGUGGAUCUAUUUGUUUACUUUUGGAAGGUAGAGGAAUUGCAAAAGAACAAGAAAGAUAGAUCACUAAUUUUUUCUCCUAAUUGUGUGGUCAAUAAACACUUCUUACUUUUUUUUCUUUUCUUUUUAUUUAUUUAUUUAUUUAUUUUGUUAUGUAAUUAUACAAAUUAUAGUAGAGUACAGUAGUAAAGAUAAAUGCACCCUAUUAUUCACUAAAAUACUAUAGUAAAGGUCAAAUAACACUUAUAGUCUCUAGACUUUCUUAGAAACAACAUUUUGUUCAUGAACUUUUUGUUUUGUAAUGAUUUAGUUUAUAUUUUCUUUUUGUUUUGUAAUAACUUACUCAACUUAACUUAAUUUUAUUGUUUACCAAUUUAGUCUCUUCAGUCAAAAAAUUAUAAACCAUUUAAUCUGAACCAUAGAAAUUAGUGUUAAUAUUUAAUGAAUUAAAUAAACUAAUAAACGAAUUAAGGCUCAUUAUACUUUUAUAAAUGACAACAUAUAUCAUAAAAUAGGAAGAAGCUGGUUAAAUUCCCCCACCCCCAAUGAUAUAAAGAAACAGAAGAAACCGAACGAUGAUUCCUUGCAAAUAGUAGCGGUUCUAGAAGUCAUUAAAAGGGUUGAUCUGACAUACGACCCCUUUGGCUAGUUGAUGCAGAAGGCAUACUUAUCAUGGAGGGGAAAUUCAAAGAUGAAGCAUGAGGAGUGAGAUGUUUUCUACUUCUUUUGGAAAAAGGAUUUCUUUCAGACACUUGAGAAGAACACUACUUGGGAAUCCGAAUAUGUAAGUUUGGGGUUAGGACUUAAAUUUUGUAUUUAAACCAUUACAUUACUAAUGUUUGGAAUUUUUGUAGACUAUGGAUCUACUUAUGUUCCACGCUCAACAUAAGAUGCACUCGAGAGAAACUUUAUGC
rnacentral:lncRNA from 1 species